rnacentral:rRNA from 1 species
UACGAAGGGGGCUAGCGUUGUUCGGAAUCACUGGGCGUAAAGCGCACGUAGGCGGACUUUUAAGUCAGAGGUGAAAUCCCAAGGCUCAACCUUGGAACUGCCUUUGAUACUGGGAGUCUUGAGGUCGAGAGAGGUGAGUGGAACUGCGAGUGUAGAGGUGAAAUUCGUAGAUAUUCGCAAGAACACCAGUGGCGAAGGCGGCUCACUGGCUCGAUUCUGACGCUGAGGUGCGAAAAGCGUGGGGAGCGAACAGG